rnacentral:rRNA from 1 species
UACGUAGGGGGCAAGCGUUGUCCGGAAUCAUUGGGCGUAAAGCGCGUGUAGGCGGCUGGGUAAGUCCGCUCUGAAAGCCCGGGGCUCAACCCCGGGAGGCGGGUGGAUACUGCUCAGCUCGAGUCCGGAAGAGGAGUGUGGAAUUCCUGGUGUAGCGGUGAAAUGCGCAGAUAUCAGGAGGAACACCAAUGGCGAAGGCAGCACGCUGGGACGGUACUGACGCUGAUGCGCGAAAGCGUGGGGAGCAAACAGG